rnacentral:misc_RNA from 1 species
AACGCACAUUGCGCCCCUUGGUAUUCCGAGGGGCAUGCCUGUUCGAGCGUCAUUAAAACACUUCAAGCUCAGCUUGGUAUUGGGGCUCGCGGUUGCGCGGCCCCUAAAAUCAGUGGCGGUGCCGUCUGGCUCUAAGCGUAGUAAUGUUCUCGCUAUAGGGUCCUCCGGUGGCUGCCAGAACCCCCCACUUCUAAGUUUGACCUCGGAUCAGGUAGGGAUACCCGCUGAACUUAA